rnacentral:misc_RNA from 1 species
CAGAGUUCUCGCCCCUCCGGGUAGAUCUCCCACCCACUGUGAUUGAUACUGUGUUGCUUUGGCGGGCCGCCGGGCCCUGCCCGUCCGCCGGCUCCGGCUGGCGCGCGCCCGCCAGAGGCUCCGCAAACUCUGAAUGUCAGUGUCGUCUGAGUACUAUAUAAUAGUUA